GGUCAAGCUAAUAAGGGCUUGCGGU
rnacentral:rRNA from 1 species